rnacentral:lncRNA from 1 species
AGAGACACAGCAAGUAUAGACAGCUCGGAAGACCUUGACCCCCACCCACCCCAAUCGACGUGUUUUCCUGGGCUUUACUCUUUGCUUCCGUUAGUCACUUUGGCCAAGGUUUCUCCUGCGUAGACGUCAGGAUGGCGAGGACAGAGGCCAGGAAGGAAGGAGAUGUGUCCCAGAAAGCUGAAGCCCCCUCCUGGGGCAGCCUUUUGGAAGGAGCUUCUGAUACCUAACCUGGAUCAUUCCUGCUGCAGUAUCAGCAGGUGUCAGCCGGGGAAGGAGAAGCCUUCUGUGAAUGACAGUCCUUCAGAUGACUAAAAACAGCUGAACUCUAUCCCAAGCAGAUAUAAGAGAGGUGGAGAUCAGGAUCUCACCCUCCCCAGCCUCUAAUAACCCCAAAUCCUGGAUUGGUGUUUGGGAGACCGUGGCUGGCCAGGGUCUUGCUCUAUCAUCAAGACUGGAGUGCAGUAGUGUGAUCAUAGUUCACUGCAGCCUCAAACUCCUGGGCUCAAGCGAUCCUCCCGACUCACAACCUCCUGGAAUUUUUUGAUGUCCUGGAUCAAGAAUCUGUCAUUCAGAUUAUUCCAGAGCCCCUGCCCCAGUUCUACUUAUGCCUCCUGGAUGCUGAGCUGACAGGCGUGGUGAGGCUCUGGCAAGCUUCUGCCUUCACACCCAUUCCCCCAAGCUCACUGUCUUACUUUGCUCUUGGGAAUCUUGUCUACAUUUUAACAAACAUCAGUUCACAUAGCAGAUUUGAAGCAAUGAGGGACAGGCUGGGGAGGGGAGAUGUUCUGGGAUGGGAGAUGCUUCUCAUUUACCCUGUGGGUACCUGCCUUUUGGCUGGUCCUGAAACUGUCAGUAUUCAUCGUUACCAUUCAUUGAGCAGCUAUUAUGUGUGGGGCUCUGUACUGUCCUCUGAGGGUAUUAUCCACAUUUUCCAGCUGGAGAAACUGAGAUUCUUGCCUAAAGUCACAGCUUUGGUGAGAUGCAAAACAGGGAUGGAAACCUAGAUUUGUCUGGCUUCAAAGCCUGUGCUCUUACCCAGCAUACUCAACCAUUUAUUGGUGGCCAAUGGUCAUGAGCAGUUACCAGGAUACCCUGUACUUAUUGCUGUGUUCCUGGACUGGUGCUAAGUGCUUUAACUGGAUUCCUACAUUCAAUUGGCCGCUGUUACACUCACAGCUUUGGUGGAGUUAGUCCUCAGAUCUGAGCUGCGUCUUCCCCAUGGGGCUGCAGCCCUCAGAAGGCCUCUUGCUGCCCAGGGCCACAGCGUGACUUCUGUGGGCACUUCGCCCUCAUGAGUCCUACCCCUGGAGAAAAAUAUUAAAAUUUAUACUUUAUGACUACAUUGGCAUAAAAACAAAUGUAAUUCCGGCUGGAUUCAUGAUUGUAUACUCAUUUGUAUUCUAUUCAUUUUUUCUUCUGAUUUUUGAAAGACAACUAAAAUAAAAACAUUUUUGAGGGCCCCUAGAAAUAUUGUGGCUUCUAGGCACUGCACUGUGCCUCAUGGAGAAGUACGCCCUGCGUGCUGGAAGUGAUGGGCAGUCCUAAGAGUCUUGUCCUGGGAACUCCUCUGGACCCAGCAACCUCUGCUGCCACCUGACCUAGAGCCCAACCCCACUCCUUCAGCCGAGCAGCCCUAAGGAAUGGAGAUGUUUUAUGUUGUGGGGAGUGGUCUAGAGGCAGGACCCUGAGCCCAGAGGAGCAUGGAGAAGAGGGGAGGAGAAGGAUGUGUUUGCUUCCCCUUCCAUCAUGAUUGUAAAUUUCCUGAGGCCUCCCCAGCCCUGUGGAACUGAGAGAAACUGAGUCCGAGGGAUGUCAACAUGCCAAGUCCAUGGAAAUAUCAGUGGGCUGGAAUUCUAGCUGCCUGAAAGAAGACAUUCCUCACACAAGACCUCACAAUCAUAUCCAUGGAAUUAUAGCACUGGGCUCUCCAGAUGGUGCUACAGGAAGACCUCCAGAAAUUUGACAAUCCUCUAUUCAAGGCCCUACCACAGAGACACACAGGAACGGAACUCAGAAUCACAAACAAAGAAACUUUGAUCCAAGAAAGAAAAUGAUCUUUAAAAAGACCCUCGUUUCAUGCUGGCCGAUGCUGAGAAAAUCUGCUCUGAAGGAUAUUUGGAGACACUGAUUAAAAGAUGGUUGUCCCAGUGGAGGGGGAUUCUUCGUGUUACGUAGAUAGGAAGCACGAUGCAAAAGUGUUGAAGCAGGAGUGUAAAGAAUAAUUAAAACACCUGCCCAAGACCCAAGCAAGGAUAGGAUUUCCCAGACAUUCGUGAGGGAGAAAAUGCCAUGUCCUUUCCUUCUGGUGUCACAUCAGAAUCUGAAGGCUGCUAGAGAAGGGAGAGAAACAUGAAAGUGAGUCCCAUGCUGAUUGUUGUUGAAAUACCUGGAAAGAAACUGGCAAAGACUAUCCAAGGGAUGCUAAGACAUGUCCGAACUUACAAAACAGUAGAACCUGAAUAGGAAUUUGAAGUUGUCUAUACUCUCCUCAGCCACACCCUGCCAUUUUACAGAUUGUCUUCUCUGGGGAAGUUAGCUGUCAUGUUGUGAGGAUACUCAAGCAGUUUAUAAAGAGGUUCAUGUCGCAAGGAAUGGAGGCCUCCUGCCAACAGCCAUGUAAAGGAGCCAUCUAGGAAAUAGAUUCUCCAGCCCCAGUCAGACCUUCAGAUGAUUACAGCCCCUACCAACCUUCUGACUGCGGUGGAAGGAAGGUUCCGGAACCAGAACCACCCAGGUUAAUGUGGGUAAGUCUCAUCCAAUCCUUUGAAGGCCUGAAGAACAAAGAGUGAGGUUUCUGGAAGAAGAAAAUUUUACCUCAAGCCUGCAAUGUAGAAAUUCUGCUUGAGUUUCCCGCCUGCUGGCCUGCCCUGUGGAAUUCGGAGUCAAGAAGGAGUCUUGUAAGCAUUAACUGAGAUAGUAUAUGAAGAGUGCUUUUGCACCGAGUGAACCUUCAAUCAACUGUACUAGUUUGUAUGCCUGGAAGAGCUGCUAUAUGGGAUCAGAAAGAAAAAUAAGGUGCAUACGCCAGAAAAAAAAUACUUGCAUAUGAGUACUAGGAGAUGCAUGACAAUGUUCACGGCAGCAGUAUUCAUGGCAGUGAAAAAUGAAAAGAACUGAAAUGCCCAUUGAUAAAAACGUCUACUUAUUUGUGUCAUCUUUGCACAGUGGAAUUGUGCGAGUGGAAAUGAUUGAUCUACAGCUAGGAGAAGCAGCAGAGCUCAAUCUCAAAAACAUAACGUUGUGUGGAAAAAGCUAACCUCAGAACACUUUGCGGCUCUAUCUUAGCAAACCAGGAGAGAAAUUCUCCUGAUGGCCUUGAAGAAGCAAACAGCCACCUGGUUAAGCCCCUGUGGAUAGUGCCAAGUGGCAGGAAAGUGGGAGCCACCUCUAGGACCUGAGGAUUAAAGUCAGUAAGAGCUGGGACCUCACUCAUGCAGACUCGAGGACAUGAAUUCGACCAACAACUUGAAUGAGCUUGGAAGUGGAUUCUUCCCUAGUCCAGUCUUCAGAAAUUAAGAAUGUUCCCAAAGAAUGAUGGAGACAUUUCAAAAGGAUACGGAAGCCAGAUUGUGGGCGCUUCUACUGGCCAACUCUGGGACAUCGUGGACAUCAAAAUAAAUUUGUAAUAAUAAAGGAUUAUAGCCUAUUAGUUAAAUCAGAAAAAUCUGAUUUAACUAAAUGAGUAGGAGGAAAAGAAAGCUCUUCCUUAUAUUAGAAAGUCAAUUAAUAAAUGCAGAAAGGAAUGAAAAAAUUAGAAAAGCCACCAUUUGGCAACCAUGGCAGGCAGAAUGGGGAGUAUGCCUCCAGACAGUAAUUCCUUUCAAACUGGUUUAUAGGAACUCACUGAGCUUGCUGAUCGACCUCUGAGAGGCAAAGUUUCUGAAUUAUGAAGUACUGAUUAUAUAAACUUAGACAGAGACAUGCUUCAUUAUUUAAUAGGACUGUGUCAAAAGCCUACUAUUAGGAUGAUGUGUUGGGUGUGGAACAGGGUCUCUUCCUGCCAGGAACACUGGUGAUUUCACUCCGUGUUCAGGCUGAUCUUUGAAGUUGAAGACAAGCAGAAGAAUCCUUCUAAAAUUUAGCCAUGCCCAUAGGCUGGGAGGGACACUGCUCCAUUCAGAGGCAGCAAAGCACAUUACUGUAUCUCCUAUAGAGCUUUGAGCAGUCCAGUGUACAUGGAGAAACUUAGUAAAUGUUGUUGAAUUAGUGAAUGAACAAAUCAAUGGACCAAGUCAGGGGUAAGUCUUACAUUUGUCAUCUAGGUGAUUAAGAAAGGAAAAAGUAUCUGUUUCAAGAGGAUUACAAUCUAACUGUACUCCAAUAGUAAAAUUUACUCUUUUGGAAUCUGAAGACA